rnacentral:lncRNA from 1 species
ACAGCUAAACCAAGCCUUUGCUGCCCACUUCAUCAUCAGCUGACGAUAACAAAAGCACUCAGACUACCUCCAGACCAUCAAACAGAAGGAGGGCGAGUCCAUUCAGUCUUACGUAGCUCGAUUCAACUGAGCUAUGUUGGAAGUUUGCAACCUAAAUCACUCAAUUGCAAUGUUCACUCUGAAAGGUGGAUUGUUGAUAGGCGACUUCAAAAAGUCGCUGUUGAAGACCUUUCCCUGUAAUUUUUUGAAAAUACUGACUUGGACAGAGAAAUACACC